rnacentral:rRNA from 1 species
CGCAUUCAGUUGCCAUCGGGUGAAGCCGGGCACUCUGGAAGGACUGCCAUCGACAAGAUGGAGGAAGUGGGGACGACGUCAAGUCAUCAUGGCCCUUAUGUCCAGGGCGACACACGUGCUACAAUGGCCGGCACAACGGGAAGCGAGUUCGCGAGGACGAGCGGAUCCCUUAAAGCCGGUCGCAGUUCGGAUUGAAGUCUGCAACUCGACUUCAUGAAGCUGGAAUCGCUAGUAAUCGCAGAUCAGCCAAGCUGCGGUGAAUACGUUCCCGGGCCUU